CUCGUAGGCGGCUUGUCGCGUCUGCUGUGAAAACGCGGGCUUAACUCCGCGCGUGCAGUGGGUACGGGCAGGCUAGAGUGUGGUAGGGGUGACUGGAAUUCCUGGUGUAGCGGUGAAAUGCGUAGAGAUUUGGAGGAACACCAGUGGCGAAGGCGACUGUCUGGUCUGUAACUGACACUGAGGCGCGAAAGCGUGGGGAGCAAACA
rnacentral:rRNA from 1 species